UACGUAUGUCGCAAGCUUUAUCCGGAUUUAUUGGGCGUAAAGCGCGUCUAGGCGGUUAAGUAAGUCUGAUGUGAAAAUGCGGGGCUUAACCCCGUAUUGCGUUGGAAACUGGUAAACUAGAGUACUGGAGAGGUAAGUGGAACUACAAGUGUAGAGGUGAAAUGCGUAGAUAUUUGGAGGAAUUCCAAUGGCGUAGGCAGCUUACUGGACAGAUACUGACGCUAAGGCGCGAAAGCGUGGGUAGCAAACAGG
rnacentral:rRNA from 1 species